rnacentral:rRNA from 1 species
GAUGAACGCUGGCGGCGUGCCUAAUACAUGCAAGUCGAGCGAACAGACGAGAGUGCUUGCACUCUCUGACGUUAGCGGCGGACGGGUGAGUAACACGUGGGUAACCUACCUAUAAGACUGGGAUAACUUCGGGAAACCGGAGCUAAUACCGGAUAAUAUUUAGCUUCGCAUGAAGCAAUAGUGAAAGACGGUUUUGCUGUCACUUAUAGGUGGACCCGCGGUGUAUUAGCUAGUUGGUGAGGUAACGGCUCACCAAGGCAACGAUACAUAGCCGACCUGAGAGGGUGAUCGGCCACACUGGGACUGAGACACGGACCAGACUCCUACGGGAGGCAGCAGUAGGGAAUCUUCCGCAAUGGACGAAAGUCUGACGGAGCAAUGCCGCGUGAGUGAAGAAGGUUUUCGGAUCGUAAAACUCUGUUGUAAGGGAAGAACAAGUACGUUAGUAACUGAACGUACCUUGACGGUACCUUACCAGAAAGCCACGGCUAACUACGUG